UGUGUCCCUUGUGUGUCAAUAGGUGGCAGAGAGGAGAGAAUCUAUGUCUACCCUCAGUUCUGAGCUUUGUACAUCUGAAUGAUUAGUAGCCUAACAUU
ensembl:snoRNA LOC120100458 small nucleolar RNA SNORA17